rnacentral:rRNA from 1 species
CCUACGGGCGGCAGCAGUGGGGAAUAUUGGACAAUGGGCGAAAGCCUGAUCCAGCCAUGCCGCGUGUGUGAAGAAGGCCUUCGGGUUGUAAAGCACUUUCGGUGGGGAAGAAAGCCUUGGGGCUAAUACCCUCGAGGAAGGACAUCACCCACAGAAGAAGCACCGGCUAACUCCGUGCCAGCAGCCGCGGUAAUACGGAGGGUGCGAGCGUUAAUCGGAAUUACUGGGCGUAAAGCGCGCGUAGGCGGUCUGAUAAGCCGGUUGUGAAAGCCCCGGGCUCAACCUGGGAACGGCAUCCGGAACUGUCAGGCUAGAGUGCAGGAGAGGAAGGUAGAAUUCCCGGUGUAGCGGUGAAAUGCGUAGAGAUCGGGAGGAAUACCAGUGGCGAAGGCGGCCUUCUGGACUGACACUGACGCUGAGGUGCGAAAGCGUGGGUAGCAAACAGGAUUAGAUACCCCAGUAGUC